rnacentral:rRNA from 1 species
GACGAACGCUGGCGGCGGGCUUAACACAUGCAAGUCGAACGGAAAGGCCCUGCUUUUGCCUGGUUCUCGCGUCGCGAACGGGUGUGAAACACGGGAGUCACCCGCCUUUUACUUUGGAAUAACUUCAGGAAACCGGGGCUACUACCGGGUAGGAGCUCCUGCAGCUUGGUGGGGGUUGGAAAGUUUCGGCUGAUGGGGAUGGACGCCCGGCUUAUGAGCUUGUUGGUGGAGUAGUGGCUUACCAAGGCUUUGACGGCUAGCCGGCCAGAGAGGGUGAACGGCCACAUUGGGACUGAGAGACGGCCCAGACUCCUACGGGAGGCAGAAGUGGGGAAUAUUGCACAAUGGGCGGACGCCUGAUGAAGCAACGCCGCGAGUGGGAUGACGGCCUUCGGGUUGUAAACCGCUUUAGGCUGUGACGAAGCGUGAGUGACGGUAAUGGGUAAAGAAGCACCGGCUAACUACGUG